rnacentral:rRNA from 1 species
UGGGGGGAGUAAACCGUUGGGAAAACCCGGGCGCUAAUACCGCAUGUGGCCUUUCCGGGAGACUGGAAAGAAGAAAGCACAUUGUGCGCUCUGCGAGGGGCCUGCGUCCGAUUAGCUUGUUGGUGGGGUAACGGGCCUACCAAGGCAUCGAUCGGUAGCUGGUCUGAGAGGAUGGUCAGCCACACUGGGACUGAGACACGGCCCAG